rnacentral:rRNA from 1 species
CCUACGGGUGGCAGCAGUGAGGAAUAUUGGUCAAUGGGCGGAAGCCUGAACCAGCCAAGUCGCGUGAGGGACUAAGGCCCUACGGGUCGUAAACCUCUUUUGCCGGGGAUCAGUGCCCAGCUCGCGAGCUGGGAGGGAGCGUACCCGGAGAAAAAGCAUCGGCUAACUCCGUGCCAGCAGCCGCGGUAAUACGGAGGAUGCGAGCGUUAUCCGGAUUUAUUGGGUUUAAAGGGUGCGCAGGCGGGCUGUUAAGCCGGCGGUAAAAAUUCAGGGCUCAACCCUGUCGAGCCGUCGGAACUGGCAGCCUUGAGUGGGCGAGAAGUAUGCGGAAUGCGUGGUGUAGCGGUGAAAUGCAUAGAUAUCACGCAGAACGCCGAUUGCGAAGGCAGCAUACCGGCGCCCGACUGACGCUGAGGCACGAAAGCGUGGGGAUCGAACAGGAUUAGAUACCCGGGUAGUC